GGAUUACUGAACUUCAUUGAUGGACUCUGGUUAUGAAGAUGAAGAAAGCUGUUUGUAGAAGUUGAUUGAGCGUCAUAAGGUUGCAAAGUAGAGAUGCAAGCAAGGAAAAUGGGCAAGAAAAGGUAGAAGAUGAAGAAGUAGAUAUUCCUAACAUGUAGAGAACAGGAAGGUGGUGGUGGUGAUGAUGAUGAUGAUGAUGAUGAUGAGAAGGAAAAGGAGAAAGAAGAAGAUGAUGAUAUAAUAAUAGUAAAGUGACUCUAUCUGGAUUACUGAACUUCAUUAAUGGACUCUGGUUAUGAAGAUGAAGAAAGCUGUUUGUAGAAGUUGAUUGGGGGGUCCUAAGGUUGCAAAGGAGAGAUGCAAGCAAGAGAAAUGGGCAAGAAAAGGUAGAAGAUGAAGAAGUAGAUAUUCCUAACAUUUUUAUAUUUAGAUGAAAUAUACGCAUCAUUCACAAUUUAAGUCCUAUAUAAACACAUAAACCAAUCAUAACACACAAACUCCUGUCUAAACCUACAAAAACUCAUGACUCGAUGGGGAGCUAAUUACCUUUAUUUAUGUAACAUACACCUUCUACCAACUAAUGAAAAAGGCAAAAGAAAGUAGAUUCCAUUUUCAAAUAUUGGCAUGCUUUGAUUAUGGUCCCAUAUUAUAUACAAACUGCAUAUGAAAGUCAAAAAUAAAAGUGAAUCAAUCACAUUUACAAAAUUUUCGCUAGCUUUAUAUUUUUUCAUAGUAUACAUAUCUAAGUAAUAUUAAGCAUAAUAAUUGAUAAAGAUAAGCUAAUUCAUUUGACCCACCAAAAAAAAAAAAAAAUCUUUAUAACAUUUAACCAAAAUGGUAACUAUAAGAAAGAUCCUAAAACCUAAACCCUGGCUCCUUGUAUCAGAAAAUUUGAGAUUAAAGUUUAGGGUAAAUACAUCUUGAAUGGUCCUCUUGAGGCAGUGUUGAAGUAACCAUUCAUGCUUCAAUCUCAAGGCUUUUUGAAGGAGACUUGAUGGAUCCCAUUGAAAUGUCAAUCUCAAUCAAGUUUUCAUCUUCAUUGAUCUCUGCUAACAGCUCCCUUAUCUCCUCUUGCCUGAAAAUUGAAUCUGGCAAGAAACUUUGCAGUUUUUGCUUUGGU
rnacentral:lncRNA from 1 species